GGCCCAAGUGAGGCGCAUUUUGCGACGGGUGCCCGGGAAGCAGCGGCUCGGUAUCUACAGGUUCUUGCCCUUCUUUUUUGUCCUGGGAGGAAUGAUGGAGUGGAUCAUGAUUAAAGUGCGCGUGGGCCAGGAGACCUUCUAGGGCAAGUGCGAUUCCUUUCGCUUGGCAGUCGAGACGGUCCGGCUGUCUGUAAGCCAGGCACGUCGGCGUUCCAGUAUUGGGCCCUCCCUGCACUUUGAGGAGAGGAUGAUGUCUACCGUAGAAAAGCCUCAGAAAGACAGUAUCAAAGAAGGCUGGAAGAUGAAUGAGACUAAACUUCAGCAGUCAAUAAAAUGAAUAUGGAUUUUCACUGUUGGUUUCAACACCUGUAAAAAUGUACGUUUCAGAUCACUU